rnacentral:rRNA from 1 species
UACGUAGGGACCAAGCGUUGUUCGGAUUUACUGGGCGUAAAGGGCGCGUAGGCGGCGCGGUAAGUCACUUGUGAAAUCUCUGAGCUUAACUCAGAACGGCCAAGUGAUACUGCAGUGCUAGAGUGUGGAAGGGGCAAUCGGAAUUCUUGGUGUAGCGGUGAAAUGCGCAGAUAUCAGGAGGAACACCGGUGGCGAAGGCGGUUCUCUGGGCAUGAUCUGACGCUGAGGAGCGAAAGUGUGGGGAGCGAACAGG